GGAAACUAAUGUAAUUGGAGAGGGAGGAGAAGGAGAAAAUAAUUCAGAAAUACAGAGGAGCUAGGCAAGGAGCGGUGAUAGAUUGCUCCAGAAAGGCAGUAAGUAUCUAGCAUCUUCCGGGGAGCCCCUGGGGGCCUAUCUGACCUGUUUGUUCUUUGGUUAUGGAGUACUAAGAACAGGGCUGAGGCUGGUGCCCUGACAGAGUGGGCAUUUGCUGCGCUGACUUCUGGAAGUCCUCAGUCCCAUUGUUGACUAAGUGCCAAGAUCACGUGGUAGGACAUGUUUCUAACAGAAAAGGAAGCCAUGCUGCUGCUGUGCAUGUGCUUACACUGAAUAGGAGUGAAGUUUUGCAUCUUCUAAAAUGCAUUAAAGAGUGAUCAAAAUUACAGCCCUCUCUGAAUGAGACUCUCCUUUAACACAACUUACAUUCGAAAGAAUCAUCUGAAAGGAAUGUGGAGAUCAGAGAAAAAUGAUGGGAAAGUUACCACAGCCUGCAAAUGAGAAAUGAUGAGAGCCUGCCUGGGUUUUGCCAGGACGAUUAAAUAUCAUUGAUGCUUCUGGUCUACAAUUAGUCAGAGAAGAGAUUAAAAAAAUGAUGAGUAUUCAAGAAGGAAAGUGUUUGCUUUAACAUAUGAAGAAAAGGAGCUUCAGAGUGGUGAUUAACCCCAGAAUUGUGUGGAACGGAUAUGGAAACAAGACCACAGGAGCAUCGAGAACUGAGCAGAACUGAAGGUGACAUGAAAAUCAGCUGCAAGAUUCACCUCAGGGUGAUAAUGGGCUGCAGGUGGCUGCAGGAAUCCCGGGACAUUCUAGGCACUGCCAUAUUUUCUUAGGGGCCAGUAAGGAUGGCUAUCAUCAGAUGUACCUGAUGAUACAAACAUGGGCUGUCUUGCCUUCUAGUAUUCAUUCUUGAUGAUUGCAUCCAGAGCUCACUUUGGAGGUGCAGAUCAACUCUUCUUCAGGCUCAUCCAUGCGACUUGAGUGGGCUCUCAUCCCCAUUCCCAGGGGCUUAUGACAAUCAAGGUUUCCACUCCUCCAUGGUCUCAAUGGUUUUUCUCCCCAUGGGAAGCACAUAAUCCCAUUAGAGGCCACGGGAAGCUUUUUUGUUGGGCUUUGAGGGAAAAAAGGCUUUUGCAGCCAAUGAAUCGAUCAAUGUGUACUUCAACCUGGAUUGUAUGUAUGCAUCUCCUAGAUUGGGCGGAUGAUGAAGUGAGGCUGGAAGUGCUGAGCAUCUUCCUACCUGGGAUGACUGGGCUGAGCAGGAAGCCUACCCCGGGGUUCCAGCCAAGUUGGAGCCUGUGAGUGUGUGGUGUAGUUUAACGCCCUGAUUAAAUCACUAGGAAGCCAUUUCUCUCUCUCCUCCCAGACCAGAUCAGACAAUAUGUUCCCUUAUUUCUACUAAAGCCCCAAUUGGAUUUUGUGUCUUUUGAUACUGAAAGAAUCUUACCACAAAUAAAAUAAUUUGUCAUGUGGCUCCUACAUAUUUAUUCAGUUACAUAAACUAACUAAAUAAAUGAAUAAACUGUCAAUAAUGGUAGUUCCUCAUCUAUGAAUGACUCUUUACAAAGCCUAUCUCGCUUAAUAGUCAUAAUAAAUACUGAAGUAGAUACUAUUUAUACCUUUUUUUUAAAAGGAAUUAAAUAUUUUCAGGGUUAUACAAAGCAUGAGUAUUGUGGGUACAAAUUCAAGCUUUCUAACUCAAAUUUGAAGACUUAUCCCCAGGAUACUUUUACAUCUUUAGCUAGUACCAUGUAUACCUCAAAAGCUUACAUUAUUUUUCACAUGUGUUAGGUUUUGAGGGAUAAUCAAUAAGGAGGGCAUACUUUCAGGCUUCUUAUUUAUAACUGUGAAAUUUAGAAAUUGAUGGAGUAGCAGAUUUCUCGGUAGGAGACAGCUGUUUUAAAAUGCCCCAUGUUUUUAUUAAAGUAAAAAUCUCAAAAAUUGUCUUUUAAAAAGUGGCUCUGGCCAAUCUUAGAUAAAACAUCAUUUACUAGACUUAGGAAUUUCCUGUAGUAAAUUUCAGAUUUACUUUUCGGUCUCACAUCAUCAAAGAGAUCAUAACCCUUUGUGCAAUUAUGGUCUUGAACCAAGGCCUAUUCUCUAGGUCACUGCUGUCAGGACUUCAAGAUAAUUGUUUCCAUUGCAGGAUUUGAUUUUUAAUUCCCCGGAUGUUCUUGACGUGGUUCAGUUCUUCAGGAAAUCAUCACCCUCAUGAGCCCUCCCUGCCACUUGCAGAUAGGGCUUUCUCCCGGUAAGUUCUGGAGUCACGGCAGAGCUCAAUAAGUCUGAUUGGGACCUCCUAUGAUUAU
rnacentral:lncRNA from 10 species